rnacentral:lncRNA from 1 species
UCAAAUUUUAAUGCCUCUGCUAGGUGGUUUUGGGAAUAUAUUUGGGUUAUUCUGAGUCAUUGAAAGGUUCAGACUUUUCAACACGUGAUACUCCGUCCAUGAUUUAUCAAUGUUUCUGUUGGAAAUAUUAUGGAGCCUUACCCCGGUCUGGCUAUACCAUGAGUAAAUUUAUGAGAGGUAUGAAUCAGUAGUUGAAAGGAACAUAAC